rnacentral:rRNA from 1 species
UGAGCAACCUGCCCUUGACUCUGGAAUAACAGUUGGAAACAGCUGCUAAUACCGGAUACGACCUCCGACGGCAUCAUCUGGAGGUGGAAAGCUCCGACGGUCAAGGAUGGGCUCGCGGCCUAUCAGCUUGUUGGUGAGGUAACGGCUCACCAAGGCUUCGGACGGGUAGCCGGCCUGAGAGGGCGACCGGCCACACUGGGACUGAGACACGGCCCAGACCUCCGUACGGGAGCA